GAUGAACGCUGGCGGCGUGCCUAAUACAUGCCAGUCGAGCGAACAGACGAGGAGCUUGCUCCUCUGACGUUAGCGGCGGACGGGUGAGUAACACGUGGAUAACCUACCUAUAAGACUGGGAUAACUUCGGGAAACCGGCGCUAAUACCGGAUAAUAUAUUGAACCGCAUGGUUCAAUAGUGAAAGACGGUUUUGCUGUCACUUAUAGAUGGAUCCGCGCCGCAUUAGCUAGUUGGUAAGGUAACGGCUUACCAAGGCAACGAUGCGUAGCCGACCUGAGAGGGUGAUCGGCCACACUGGAACUGGGACACGGUCCAGACUCCUACGGGAGGCAGCAGUAGGGAAUCGUCCGCAAUGGGCGAAAGCUUGACGGAGCAACGCCGCGUGAGUGAUGAAGGUCUUCGGAUCGUAAAACUCUGUUAUUAGGGAAGAACAAAUGUGUAAGUAACUAUGCACGUCUUGACGGUACCUAAUCAGAAAGCCACGGCUAACUACGUG
rnacentral:rRNA from 1 species